AAUGAACGUUGGCGGCAUGGAUUAGGCAUGCAAGUCGAACGAUGAAGCCGGAGCUUGCUCUGGUGGAUUAGUGGCGAACGGGUGAGUAACACGUGAGUAACCUGCCCUUGACUCUGGGAUAAGCGUUGGAAACGACGUCUAAUACCGGAUACGAGCUGGGAUCGCAUGAUCACCAGCUGGAAAGAAUUUCGGUCAAGGAUGGACUCGCGGCCUAUCAGUUAGUUGGUGAGGUAACGGCUCACCAAGACGACGACGGGUAGCCGGCCUGAGAGGGUGACCGGCCACACUGGGACUGAGACACGGCCCAGACUCCUACGGGAGGCAGCAGUGGGGAAUAUUGCACAAUGGGCGCAAGCCUGAUGCAGCAACGCCGCGUGAGGGACGACGGCCUUCGGGUUGUAAACCUCUUUUAGCAGGGAAGAAGCGCAAGUGACGGUACCUGCAGAAAAAGCACCGGCUAACUACGUGCCAGCAGCCGCCGUAAGAC
rnacentral:rRNA from 1 species